UUACGGCCAUAUCACGUUGAAACACUAGUUCACGUACGAUCACCGAAGUUAAGCAAUGUCGAGUUAGAUGGGUGACCGCUUGGAAAUAUCAGGUGCUGUAA